CCUACGGGCGGCUGCAGUGAGGAAUAUUGGUCAAUGGCCGGAAGGCUGAACCAGCCAUGCCGCGUGAAGGUCAGUGCCCUAUGGGCGUUAAACUUCUUUUGUGCGGGAGCAAUAAUGGUCACGUGUGGCCAGACGAGAGUACCCUACGAAUAAGCAUCGGCUAACUCCGUGCCAGCAGCCGCGGUAAUACGGGGGAUGCAAGCGUUAUCCGGAUUUUUUGGGGUUAAAGGGUGCGGAUGCUGUGAGGUAAGUCAGCGGUGAAAUGCCCCGGCUCAACGGGGUGAAGUGCCAUUGAUACUGGCUUGCUGGAAUGCGGAUGCAGUGGGAGGAAUGUGUGGUGUAGCGGUGAAAUGCAUAGAUAUCACACAGAACACCGAUUGCGAAGGCAUCUCACGAAUCCGCGAUUGACGCUGAUGCACGAAAGCGUGGGUAUCAAACAGGAUUAGAUACCCUGGUAGUC
rnacentral:rRNA from 1 species